UACAGAGGGUGCGAGCGUUAAUCGGAAUUACUGGGCGUAAAGCGUGCGCAGGCGGUUUUGUAAGUCUGUCGUGAAAUCCCCGGGCUCAACCUGGGAAUUGCGAUGGAGACUGCAAGGCUGGAGUCUGGCAGAGGGGGGUAGAAUUCCACGUGUAGCAGUGAAAUGCGUAGAGAUGUGGAGGAACACCGAUGGCGAAGGCAGCCCCCUGGGUCAAGACUGACGCUCAUGCACGAAAGCGUGGGGAGCAAACAGG
rnacentral:rRNA from 1 species